rnacentral:rRNA from 1 species
UUCAGGUUUCAGCAGGCAGAUUCAUUUUCUGCCACCGAAUACAUUAGCAUGGGAUAAUGGAAUAGGACCCUGUCCUCCUAUUUUCAGUUGGUUUUGGCAGCGCGAGGACUAGGGUAAUGAUUAAUAGGGAUAGUUGGGGGCAUUAAUAUUUAAUUGUCAGAGGUGAAAUUCUUGGAUUUAUGAAAGAUUAACUUCUGCGAAAGCAUCUGCCAAGGAUGUUUUCAUUAAUCAAGAACGAAAGUUAGGGGAUCGAAGACGAUCAGAUACCGUCGUAGUCUUAACCAUAAACGAUGCCGACCAGCGAUUAGGAGACGUUGAAUACAAAACACCACCAUCGGCGCGGUCGCCCUUGGCGUUCGUGUUCACGCACGAGCGCGAGGGCGGCUUAGCCCGAUGGCACCGGUGAAUGACUCCCCUAGCACUUUUGUGAGAA